ensembl:lncRNA
UACUGCUAGCUUUGCCUUCUUAUCUUUGUUGUUGUUGUUUUUUCCUUAGCUCUUGGGAUUGGCUAAUAGAAGAUCUCUGCUGUGAAGCCCAUCUUCAACAUGGCAGGGUCAUUGUUUCCCUCUGGCAAAGGAGAUUUUGUUUGCAACAGGUGAGGUUGAGUUGGUGCAAACUGCAAGCUCUGUGUAGUAGUAACUCCACCAGCUUGGAGGGUCUUUAUCAGAGAACAUCACUCAGUGAUUCAUACAAAAGAGGACAAGAAGCUGAUCUCUGGACAGGAAGCACAGAAAACUUCUGAGCUCGUGCCAGACCUCAGUGAAGUCUAAGGGAGAGCCCAAGAGUUCCAUCAUUGUUCUGUCAUUGUCCUCUCCUGUUAGCACAUGGAGCACAAUCAGACAGCAGUCCUACCAAGAGCCUCUAGGGGCUACUGCAGUUUAAUAAAUCACAAUAUAUAAAAUGCAAACCAGUUUUUAGUCUGAUAUGGGCUGUGUUAAUCUCUGGUGUGCUAUCUUGGACUUCAGAAGAGUUACAAGCAAUGGAAUAUUGCCCACUGAACCUUUGCUGACUGUUCUCACAUUGCCAGGAAGGAUAAAGGAUAAAGUUUUCUUUUGUGUGAGAGGGCCUGAACUUCCAACAUCUCCAAGAGCGCAGAGCCAAACUCCUUCUUUACUGGCCACAUGGACAAGAUUUCAGGCAUAUGAAACUCUGUCAGAAGGAUACCUCCCACAGCAUCCAGUUCUGAUGGGGAUUUCACCAUCAAUCUCCUUCAAGCAUAUCAAGGUUGGUACAAAUAUCUCAAUCCAUGUCAAGGGAAGAAGCCAGGUCUGUCUGUGGAUGUGGAAGAGCCAAAUUCUGGAGCAAAUGAGAAUGUUACAAGAAAAGCACUGAUGAAGCUCUCUAUGAAGAAGUAGACCAAAGUGCUUAUCAUUCAUCUAGGUGGAGUUUAGGAACAUUGUGAAUAUGGUAAUCUGCCUAACUAGAGAGACUUAAGGUGCCCUUUCCAAAGUGUUGUCCUGGACUAGAGGCACAUUCCAGAGACUGUGUUACCUGGUGUACCAUGAAAGACAGGCAUACUGGCAGCUCCCAGGUGGAAAUGCAUCUUGUGCAAAAUGAAUAUAAGGGGAAGGACUGUGGUUCAGUGGAGAAUCUCUUUUUAUAGUGGUUAAAUUCAAGGGCAGUAAUUGUGCUCCUACUGCUACUAAGCUACUUGGGACACACCAGACUUCAUUCUAAGGAGAGGCACUAUUCCAUGGCUAAGGUGAAAACUGGUAUCUGUGAGUAUAACAUGGGUAUUUUUUUUUAUGGUAGUUUGGAGAAUAUGUGCAUGACUUUACCAGAAUGAAAAUCAGUGUCUAUCUGAAGAACUGCUAUGUUUAUCAGCCUUCUGGGCUGACAGUUACUCGUGUAUUUUCAUAAUUUCCCUAGAGGAAUCUACCAGCUAAGGAUGAGAAUAUUUUUUACUUUUCUUACAGAAUGGCUACUGGGUCUUCUGAAGAUGAUCUCCAGAACAUUUUUGCAUAAGUACAGGUAAUUCUGUUUUUCUCCCAGAGGCUUUUUCUGAGGCUGAGUUGACAUCCUGGUUAUGGAUCAAAUGAAAUAAUUAGCCCAUGUGCAGUUCUGUUCAACUGGAUGUAUCCUGGAAAGCAACCUUGGAAUGUUUUUAUUUCCUGACACAAUAACACCAUAUGAUGGUAGAGAAAGGUUUAGCUUUAUAAUGCAAAAUCUUACUGGACUUUCAGCAAACAGCAAAACAUUACAAUAAAUAAAAAUUACAAGCAAGUUAAAAUGAAAUC